rnacentral:rRNA from 1 species
GAUGAACGCUGGCGGCGUGCUUAACACAUGCAAGUCGAACGAAGCACUUUAUUUGAUUUCCUUCGGGACUGAUUAUUUUGUGACUGAGUGGCGGACGGGUGAGUAACGCGUGGGUAACCUGCCUUGUACAGGGGGAUAACAGUUGGAAACGGCUGCUAAUACCGCAUAAGCGCACAGCAUCGCAUGAUGCAGUGUGAAAAACUCCGGUGGUAUAAGAUGGACCCGCGUUGGAUUAGCUAGUUGGUGAGGUAACGGCCCACCAAGGCGACGAUCCAUAGCCGAACUGAGAGGGGGAACGGCCACAUUGGGACUGAGACAAGGCCCAAACUCCUACGGGAGGCAGCAGUGGGGAAUAUUGCAAAAUGGGCGAAAGCCUGAUGCAGCGACGCCGCGUGAGCGAAGAAGGAAUUCGGUAUGUAAAGCUCUAUCAGCAGGGAAGAUAAUGAAGGUACCUGACUAAGAAGCACCGGCUAAAUAAGUG